CUCCGGUUGAUCCUGCCGGACCUGACUGCUAUCGGAUUGGUACUAAGCCAUGCGAGUCGUUGUAGCAAUACAAGGCGGACGGCUCAGUAACACGUAGUCAACCUAACCUAUGGACGUGGAUAACCUCGGGAAACUGAGAAUAAACCGCGAUAGAUCAUUAUGCCUGGAAUGGCUUAUGGUUCAAACAAUUUAUUGCCGUAGGAUGGGACUGCGGCCUAUCAGCUUGUUGGUGAGGUAAUGGCCCACCAAGGCUAUAACAGGUACGGGCUCUGAGAGGAGAAGCCCGGAGAUGGGUACUGAGACACGGACCCAGGCCCUAUGGGGCGCAGCAGGCGAGAAACCUUAGCAAUGUGCGAAAGCACGACUAGGUUAAUCCGAGUGAUUUCUGUUGAAGAAAUCUUUUGUCAGUCGUAAAACCACAGACGAAUAAGGGGUGGGCAAGUCUGGUGUCAGCCGCCGCGGUAAUACCAGCACCUCGAGUGGUCAGGAGGUUUAUUGGGCCUAAAGCAUCCGUAGCCGGCUACGCAAGUCUCCGGUUAAAUCCAGCUGCUCAACAGAUGGGCUGCCGGAGAUACUACAUAGCUAGGGAGCGGGAGAGGUAGACGGUAUUCUGUGGGUAGGGGUAAAAUCCACUGAUCCAUAGAGGACCACCAGAGGCGAAGGCGGUCUACCAGAACGCGUUCGACGGUGAGGGAUGAAAGCUGGGGGAGCAAACCGGAUUAGAUACCCGGGUAGUCCCAGCUGUAAACGAUGCAAACUCGGUGAUGCAUUGGCUUAUGGCCAAUGCAGUGCCGCAGGGAAGCCGUUAAGUUUGCCGCCUGGGAAGUACGGACGCAAGUCUGAAACUUAAAGGAAUUGGCGGGGGAGCA
rnacentral:rRNA from 1 species